rnacentral:rRNA from 1 species
AGCGAACGCUGGCGGCAGGCCUAACACAUGCAAGUCGAACGAACCCUUCGGGUUAGUGGCAGACGGGUGAGUAACACGUGGGAACGUGCCUUUUGGUUCGGAACAACUCAGGGAAACUUGAGCUAAUACCGGAUGUGCCCUUCGGGGAAGGAAUUAUCGCCAUUAGAGCGGCCCGCGUCUGAUUAGCUAGUUGGUGAGGUAAAGGACUCACCAAGGCUUCGAUCAGUAGCUGGUCUGAGAGGAUGAUCAGCCACACUGGGACGUGAGACACGGCCCACGACUCCUACCGGGAGGGCAGCAGUGGGGAAGUCUUGCGCAAUGGGCGAAAGACCUGACGCAGCCAUGCCGCGUG